GUGCGGUUCCUUGUGUGUUAAUGUGUUAUUGUAUUGUAUAUUGUAGUUUGUAUGAUUUUUUUUUUCCAUCUUCAGCAAAUAAAGCUGUUUUGAGUUCACGUUCUGCCUGUGGGUCUGCGUUUGAGUCCUGCCUGUUGUGCACAGCCAAAUCAUGACAGUCUACAUCAAGCCUAAUGAUUUCCAGUCACCUUCUCAGAGACAAGUACAGAUGAAAACUAAAGGCUCCACUCCAACAAAUGCAGCAUGCCUGGUGACAAUACUGAAUUCUGGGUAAAAAACUGGAUCAACAGUUGUCUGUGACAGAAGUCAUCCCUCAGUAAAGCUAAUCAAGGAUGAGACAGUGGGUGUGAGGAGGAGGUGGGUGCUGACAGAGAGGUUUGGACAGAUGGACGGACAGACAGGCUGUGCUCUGUCAGCACAGUCUGACAUGAUGAGAAGGGACAGACGAAUGGAAGAACAGAAUUGGAGAAAGAAGUGAAGUGGAGAGAGUAAAGAUGAAGAACCAACACCAGAAGUGAAACUACACACUGAAACACACUAACAGUUCUUUCAGUCCAUCCAAUCCAACUUUUCCUUUUUCAUCUUGUUUGCUUAAUUGACUUUAAAUAAAAUGUAUAUCAAGUCAUGAUGUUAGGGGUAAAUGAUGCGUUUUAUUUCCUGUGACACAGUCUUGUGUUUCUGGUUUAAAAAUAUUUGAAAAUGGGGAAAAACUUGCUUUUGAGA